rnacentral:rRNA from 1 species
AUACGGAAGGUCCAAGCGUUAAUCGGAAUUACUGGGCGUAAAGCGCGCGUAGGUGGUUUAUUAAGUUGGAUGUGAAAUCCCCGGGCUCAACCUGGGAACUGCAUCCAAAACUGAUUCACUAGAGUACGAUAGAGGGAGGUAGAAUUCACAGUGUAGCGGUGGAAUGCGUAGAUAUUGUGAAGAAUACCAAUGGCGAAGGCAGCCUCCUGGAUCUGUACUGACACUGAGGUGCGAAAGCGUGGGUAGCGACAGGAUUAGAUACCCUGGUAGUCCACGCCGUAAACGAUGUCAACUAGCUGUUGGAGAACUAUGUUCUUCAGUGGCGCAGCUAACGUAGUAAGUUGACCGCCUGGGGAGUACGGCCGCAAGGCUAAAAACUCAAAUGAAUUGACGGGGGACCCGCACAAGCGGUGGAGCAUGUGGUUUAAUUCGAUGCAACGCGAAAAAACCUUACCUAUACUUGACAUACUUGGAAUGCUUUGUAAUGAAGCAGUGCCUUCGGGAGCCAAGAUAC